UUGAUCCUGGCUCAGAAUCAACGCUGGCGGCGUGCCUAACACAUGCAAGUCGAACGCGAAAGUGGAGCAAUCCAUGAGUAGAGUGGCGAACGGGUGAGUUACACGUGGGUGACCUACCUUCGAAUGGGGGAUAACGUCCCGAAAGGGACUCUAAUACCGCAUAGCAUCCUGCCUUUGAACAGGUGGAGAUCAAAGCCGGUGAUCGCAAGACCUGGCGUUUGAAGAGGGGCCCGCGUCUGAUUAGCUAGUUGGUGAGGUAACGGCUCACCAAGGCGACGAUCAGUAUCCGGCCUGAGAGGUCGGACGGACACACUGGGACUGAGACACGGCCCAGACUCCUACGGGAGGCUGCAGUGGGGAAUUGUUCGCAAUGGGCGCAAGCCUGACGACGCAACGCCGUGUGGAGGAUGAAGGUCUUCGGAUUGUAAACUCCUGUUGCCCGGGACGAAUAGCCUCGACCUAAUACGUUGAGGUCUGACGGUACCGGGUGAGGAAGCCCUGGCUAACUCUGUGCCAGCAGCCGCGGUAAUAAGGU
rnacentral:rRNA from 1 species